AUUGAACGCUGGCGGCAGGCCUCACACAUGCAAGUCGAACGAGUGGCGGACGGGUGCGUAAUGUCUGUGAAACUGCCCGAUGGAGGGGGAUAACUACUGGAAACGGUAGCUAAUACCGCAUACCCUCUGAUGUGCCCAGAUGGGAUUAGCUAGUAGGUGGGGUAACGGCUCACCUAGGCGACGAUCCCUAGCUGGUCUGAGAGGAAGAACAGCCACAAUGGAACUGAGACACGGGCCAGACGCCUACGGGAGGAAGAAGUGGGGAAUAUUGCACAAUGGGCGCAAGCAUGAUGCAGCCAUGCCGCGUGUAUGAAGAAGGCCUUCGGGUUGUAAAGUACUUUAAGCGAGGAGGCGUUACUCGCAGAAGAAGCACCGGCUAACUCCGUGCCAGCAGACGCGGUAAUUC
rnacentral:rRNA from 1 species